GUGCUUGCUUCGGCAGCACGUGUACUGAAAUUAGAACAGUACGGAGAAGAUUAGAGUGGCCCCUGUGCAAAGAUGGCAUGCAGAUUUGUGAAGAAUUCCAUAUUUUU